rnacentral:rRNA from 1 species
UGGGGAAUUUUGCACAAUGGGGGAAACCCUGAUGCAGCGACGCCGCGUGAUUUAGAAGGCCUUCGGGUUGUAAAAAUCUUUUUUACGGGAUGAAAAUGACAGUACCGUAAGAAUAAGGUCCGGCUAAAUACGUGCCAGCAGCCGCGGUAAUACGUAUGGACCGAGCGUUGUCCGGUAUCAUUGGGCGUAAAGGGUACGUAGGCGGCCUAGUAAGUUAGAAGUGAAAUAAUAUAGCUCAACUAUAUAAAGCUUUUAAAACUGCUAGGCUUGAGAGAUGGAAGGGAAAGUGGAAUUCCUAGUGUAGCGGUGAAAUGCGCAGAUAUUAGGAAGAAUACCGGUGGCGAAGGCGACUUUCUGGUCAUCAUCUGACGCUGAGGUACGAAAGCGUGGGUAGCAAACAGG